rnacentral:rRNA from 1 species
GAUGAACGCUGGCGGCGUGCCUAACACAUGCAAGUCGAACGAAGCGCCUGGCCCCCGACUUCUUCGGAACGAGGAGCCUUGCGACUGAGUGACGGACGGGUGAGUACGCGUGGGCGAACCUGCCUUGCACUGGGGGAGUAACAGCCAGAAAUGGCUGCUAAUACCGCAUAAGACCGAAGCGCCGCAUGGCGCGGCGGCCAAAGACCCCGGCGGUGCAAGAUGGGCCCGCGUCUGAUUAGGUAGUUGGCGGGGUAACGGCCCACCAAGCCGACGAUCAGUAGCCGACCUGAGAGGGGUGACCGGCCACAUUGGGACUGAGACACCGGCCCAGACUCCGUACGGGAGGCAGCAGUGGGGGAAUAUUGGCACGAA